rnacentral:rRNA from 1 species
CAAGUCGAACGGUGUCUUCGGACACAGUGGCGGACGGGUGAGUAACGCGAUUGAAUCUGCCUCUAGGUUGGGGACAACAGUUGGAAACGACUGCUAAUACCCGAUGUGCCGUAAGGUAAAAGAUUUAUUGCCUGGAGAGGAGCUCGCGUCUGAUUAGCUAGUUGGUGGGGUAAAAGCCCACCAAGGCAGCGAUCAGUAGCUGGUCUGAGAGGAUGAGCAGCCACACUGGGACUGAGACACGGCCCAGACUCCUACGGGAGGCAGCAGUGGGGAAUUUUCCGCAAUGGGCGAAAGCCUGACGGAGCAAUACCGCGUGAGGGAGGAAGGCCUUUGGGUUGUAAACCUCUUUUCUCAGGGAAGAAGAUCUGACGGUACCUGAGGAAUAAGCAUCGGCUAACUCCGUGCCAGCAGCCGCGGUAAUACGGAGGAUGCAAGCGUUAUCCGGAAUCAUUGGGCGUAAAGCGUCCGCAGGUGGUUUUUCAAGUCUGCUGUUAAAGACUGGAGCUCAACUCCGGAAAGGCAGUGGAAACUGGAAGACUAGAGUUCGGUAGGGGUAGCGGGAAUUCCCAGUGUAGCGGUGAAAUGCGUAGAUAUUGGGAAGAACAUCGGUGGCGAAGGCGCGCUACUGGACCGAAACUGACACUCAGGGACGAAAGCUAGGGGAGCGAAAGGGAUUAGAUACCCCUGUAGUCCUAGCUGUAAACGAUGGAAACUAGGUGUGGCUUGUAUCGACCCGAGCCGUGCCGUAGCUAACGCGUUAAGUUUCCCGCCUGGGGAGUACGC